UACGGAGGGGGCUAGCGUUGUUCGGAAUUACUGGGCGUAAAGCGCACGUAGGCGGCUUUGCAAGUUAGAGGUGAAAGCCCGGGGCUCAACUCCGGAAUUGCCUUUAAAACUGCAUCGCUAGAAUUGUGGAGAGGUAAGUGGAAUUCCGAGUGUAGAGGUGAAAUUCGUAGAUAUUCGGAAGAACACCAGUGGCGAAGGCGGCGACCUGGUCCUUGACUGACGCUGAGGCGCGAAAGCGUGGGGAGCAAACAGG
rnacentral:rRNA from 1 species